rnacentral:rRNA from 1 species
UACGUAGGGGGCGAGCGUUAUCCGGAAUUACUGGGCGUAAAGCGCACGCAGGCGGUUCGCCAAGUUUGGAGUGACAGUUGUCGGCUCAACCGACAAAGGACUUCAAAAACUGGUGAACUUGAGGACGAGAGAGGAACAUGAAACUCCAGGUGUAGUAGUGAAAUGCGUAGAUAUCUGGAAGAACACCAAUGGCGAAGGCAAUGUUCUGGCUCGUUUCUGACGCUCAGGUGCGAAAGCCAGGGGAGCGAACGGG